rnacentral:rRNA from 1 species
AGUCACUGACAUUAGAUACCCCCGUAGUCCAGGGUGUAAACGCUGCAGACUUGGUGUUGGAAGUCCUUUGGGGGCAUUCAGUGCCGUAGGGAAGCCGUGAAGCGAGCCACCUGGGAAGUACGGCCGCAAGGCUGAAACUUAAAGGAAUUGGCGGGGGAGCACCACAACGGGUGGAGCUUGCGGUUUAAUUGGAUUCAACGCCGGAAAUCUUACCGGGACCGACAGCAACAUGAAGGCCAGGCUGAAGACUUUGCCGGAUUAGCUG